GACGAACGCUGGCGGCGUGCUUAACACAUGCAAGUCGAACGGAAAGGCCCUGCUUUUGUGGGGUGCUCGAGUGGCGAACGGGUGAGUAACACGUGAGUAACCUGCCCUUGACUUUGGGAUAACUUCAGGAAACUGGGGCUAAUACCGGAUAGGAGCUCCUGCUGCAUGGUGGGGGUUGGAAAGUUUCGGCGGUUGGGGAUGGACUCGCGGCUUAUCAGCUUGUUGGUGGGGUAGUGGCUUACCAAGGCUUUGACGGGUAGCCGGCCUGAGAGGGUGACCGGCCACAGUGGGACUGAGAUACGGCCCAGACUCCUACGGGAGGCAGCAGUGGGGAAUAUUGCACAAUGGGCGGAAGCCUGAUGCAGCAACGCCGCGUGCGGGAUGACGGCCUUCGGGGUGUAAACCGCUUUCGCCUGUGACGAAGCGUGAGUGACGGUAAUGGGUAAAGAAGCACCGGCUAACUACGUG
rnacentral:rRNA from 1 species